UACAGAGGGGGCAAGCGUUAUUCGGAAUUAUUGGGCGUAAAGGGCGCGUAGGCGGCUUGGCAAGUGGAUGGUGAAAUCCCUCGGCUUAACCGAGGAACUGCCGUCCAAACUGCUUCGCUUGAGACCGGGAGAGGUGAGUGGAAUUCCCAGUGUAGCGGCGAAAUGCGUAGAUAUUGGGAGGAACACCAGUGGCGAAGGCGGCUCACUGGACCGGUACUGACGCUGAUGCGCGAAAGCGUGGGGAGCAAACGGG
rnacentral:rRNA from 1 species